GUCAGUUUGUUUGCAUAUUUUAAUAUAAAAAAACUAUUCUUUUCUGAUUAUUCGACUCUUUUUCUUUGAUCUCAAUCAGACUUUUAACUCUGCACUAGAAUCAGUUUAUUUUAAAUUUUUUUACAAAUUCAUAUAUAGGGAAAAAAACAGAAAACAUAUAUGGAAUUGAAGGAUAUCAUUUUUUAUCCAUUAACUGCAAAAAUAGGUUUUUCCCAACUGAAUUUCAAAUAACUUCAAUCUUUUUUUUUAAAAAAAUUCAAAUAUUUUGCUGGGAACCACAAGCACUUAGAAAUGUGUGAAUAGGUGCGCCUUUGGAUGUUUAGGUGAUCUCUAAAACUAGUUUUUGCCAGAAUAUAAUAAAAUGUUUAAAUGUAAUUAGUGAAGAUUUUAUGACCAACUAACUAGUCGCGCAUUUGUAGGAGAAGAUAGCAUAGCAAUGAUUAUGAAGGUGUUAAGUUUUAAAAUAAAACAAAGUUAAUUAUGUAAAAAAUUAUAAGUUUUGUUGUUGCAAAAAAGUCAGGCUCAAUUCCAUUGAUGUUGUACUAAUAAAAACAAUGGUUAUAUAUUGACUGAUGGAUGGAUAUUAAGGUGAUCUCUAAAACAAGUUUUUGUCAGAAAUAAGAAAUGUUUUAAUAUAAAUAGUGAAGAUAUUUAUUAACAACUAACUAGUCGCACCUUUGCAAGAGAAGACAGCAUAACAAUGAUUUUGAAGAUAUUCUUUGUCUGUACAUUGAUGGCAAUAGCCUUAAUGUCUAUUUCAGAAUCUGCCUCUUUAGGGAAACUUAACGUAUUUGUAGAUGGUUCUAGUAGAGAGGAAACAAUUUCACUGGACGAUGAUAAAAAUUUGGUGAUAAAAGGCCACCAGACUCAACGAUGGCCGCAAUGGAGCAGUGGCAAAGUAAUAGUAUUGCACAUCCAGUACAAAGGCAAUAAAGAUGGUUAUCGAGCCUCUUAUAAUCUAACACAAACUCCUUUAUAUGGAUUCCUUCCUGCGUGUGUACUUAAAUCAGUGUGUUAGAUAAUUUUUGAUUUUAGAAUGAUUUUAAUGUGCAAUCAUAUGUUUACAAUAUUAUAUUCCUUUUGACUGAGAGAUUUUAUCAAAGGGAUAAGUUUAAAAACUGUAAGACUUCAUGAUUUACACAAUAAACCAAAUGCUCUCAGGUUAUGUUUUUAUUAAUCAAUUUUAUUAUGCCCUCAGCCAUAUGGCAGGAGAGUAUAUAUAUCAAUUGAUACGGCCAAAACGUGCCUUAUCGAAAUAACGGUUUUAGAACCUAGGUCUCUUUGGACUAAAUCCGUUUCAGGACAUUUGGAGUCGAUCUAGCGAUGUCCGUCCGUCUGUCUGUCUCGAGGGGAGUACCAGAUUUCAUCCAAACUUGGUACUACGUAAUAUUAUUGUCAAAGUUAGAUCGAGUUCGGAGAUCGGCAAUAUCGGUCUACUGUUUCUAGUACCUCCCUCCACAAAAUGUCAACAUUUUCAAAGAAAAUAAUUUAUUGCACAGAAAGAGAAAGGAUUUUGCUCCAACUUUGCAAAUUCUAAUAUUUGCAUCAGUGCUACUUCACCCCAUCUGGUACCUCCCUCACAAGGGGGCAAAAAAUGAAUAAUUAUAACUCUUAUAAAAUAUGACGUAAUAGUCCGAUU